rnacentral:rRNA from 1 species
UACAGAGGUCUCAAGCGUUGUUCGGAUUCAUUGGGCGUAAAGGGUGCGUAGGUGGCGCCGUAAGUCGGGUGUGAAAUUUCGGAGCUUAACUCCGAAACUGCAUUCGAUACUGCGGUGCUUGAGGACUGGAGAGGAGACUGGAAUUUAUGGUGUAGCAGUGAAAAUGCGUAGAGAUCAUGAGGAAGACCAGUGGCGAAGGCGGGUCUCUGGACAGUUCCUGACAGCUGAGGCACGAAGGCCAGGGGAGCAAAACGGGG